rnacentral:rRNA from 1 species
GUCCACGCCCUAAACUAUGUCAACUAGUUGUCGGGAAAGCAAUUUCUUGGUAACGAAGCUAACGCGUGAAGUUGACCGCCUGGGGAGUACGGUCGCAAGAUUAAAACUCAAAGGAAUUGACGGGGGCCCGCACAAGCGGUGGAUGAUGUGGAUUAAUUCGAUGCAACGCGAAAAACCUUACCUACCCUUGACAUGCCCGGGAGCCAGAUGAGAGUUUGGGUGCUCGAAAGAGAGCCGGGACACAGGUGCUGCAUGGCUGUCGU